UGAGAAGAUGAGUGCAGAGUAGGCGAGCAGGAGAGAGAAUAUCCAUGUAAAUACUGGGACCCAGGAGGAUACAGCAGAGGCUAAAAGGGCUCUCAUUAAGAUCUACAUGGGAACACAUCCAAGGAGUCACCCUCUCUGCAUAUCAUCUCCCAUUACUCAAGACCUGUUCACAGUUCUCCAAUACCCUCACCAAACGUCCAAGGCACCCUUAAGGAGUAGGCGAAGAAGUCAAAACAUCUGAGACUGACCUGAACUCUCCAGUGCAGAAUUGCCUAAAAGGAAAGAAAGAGCGAACGAUUCAGCCGCUGUACCAUCACUGCUUGGAGCACCUCUAAUCUUUGGAGAGAAGAGUUCAAACACUGGGACCAGCAUGUCCACUAACUAGCUGAUCGGGCGGAUAUCAGGGCAUGUAGACUAGUGAUAAAGUUGAUAUGGGAUUGGUCAAAGUCGGUAGCUAUUUUGACCAAUGCCGUACCGAGAGCACAGAGCUCCAAGGGAAUUAAUAGAUGGACAGAGGCUGACAUGGCAAAGACUGACCGGAGGCCGGCUUCGGGCUCAGCUCUGGUUCACUUGGAGCAUAUCCUACCUAAAGUUCUCUGCCGUCUUAGGCACCACGUCUGCAAAGAGCUCGAUCUUCAUGCGACCAACUUCCUGCAAGAAAAGGGAGACGCAAUACUCAGCCCAUGACCGCUGUCCAAGCAGCGCGGAAGCUCCAACCUCCGCCACCUGGCCCAGCCUGUCUCGGGAGGGCUAGAAGGGGCUCCUCAGCUGCCUCCCUUACCCGAGUCCAGCCAGCCCGCACAGGCCCGGCAGGCUGCCCGCACCUCACCUGGCCGCCAAUGCUGACAUCGAAGAAGACCACUGGAUUGACUGGACUUGAAUUUGCCACCGCCAUGGCUUUGGCCCGGAAGUAGAAGCCUGGCUUCCGGUGGCGGGUCCCGAGAACGUCCUCCAAAGCGCAGACGCAGUGGGAACAGACCCCGGUUGCGCCACGCCCCGGAAGUGUGGCGAGCGCUGAGGUAGUUGGGAAUGGUAUUUUUUAGCUGAGCUGGUCGGAGCUGAGGGAAGGAAGCGGGGCAUCUUUGUCGAAGUCUAUGGACUCCCCUCUCGCAUGACUGUACUAGCGCAAUACAAAUGAAUCUUCUGCAGACAG